GACGAACGUUGGCGGCGUGCUUAACACAUGCAAGUCGAACGGAAAGGCCCUGCUUUUGUGGGGUGCUCGAGUGGCGAACGGGUGAGUAACACGUGAGUAACCUGCCCUUGACUUUGGGAUAACUUCAGGAAACUGGGGCUAAUACCGGAUAGGAGCUCCUGCUGCAUGGUGGGGGUUGGAAAGUUUCGGCGGUUGGGGAUGGACUCGCGGCUUAUCAGCUUGUUGGUGGGGUAGUGGCUUACCAAGGCUUUGACGGGUAGCCGGCCUGAGAGGGUGACCGGCCACAUUGGGACUGAGAUACGGCCCAGACUCCUACGGGAGGCAGCAGUGGGGAAUAUUGCACAAUGGGCGGAAGCCUGAUGCAGCAACGCCGCGUGCGGGAUGACGGCCUUCGGGUUGUAAACCGCUUUCGCCUGUGACGAAGCGUGAGUGACGGUAAUGGGUAAAGAAGCACCGGCUAACUACGUGCCAGCAGCCGCGGUGAUACGUAGGGUGCGAGCGUUGUCCGGAUUUAUUGGGCGUAAAGGGCUCGUAGGUGGUUGAUCGCGUCGGAAGUGUAAUCUUGGGGCUUAACCCUGAGCGUGCUUUCGAUACGGGUUGACUUGAGGAAGGUAGGGGAGAAUGGAAUUCCUGGUGGAGCGGUGGAAUGCGCAGAUAUCAGGAGGAACACCAGUGGCGAAGGCGGUUCUCUGGGCCUUUCCUGACGCUGAGGAGCGAAAGCGUGGGGAGCGAACAGGCUUAGAUACCCUGGUAGUCCACGCUGUAAACGGUGGGUACUAGGUGUGGGGUCCAUUCCACGGGUUCCGUGCCGUAGCUAACGCUUUAAGUACCCCGCCUGGGGAGUACGGCCGCAAGGCUAAAACUCAAAGGAAUUGACGGGGCCCCGCACAAGCGGCGGAGCAUGCGGAUUAAUUCGAUGCAACGCGUAGAACCUUACCUGGGUUUGACAUGGAUCGGGAGUGCUCAGAGAUGGGUGUGCCUCUUUUGGGGUCGGUUCACAGGUGGUGCAUGGCUGUUGUCAGCUCGUGUCGUGAGAUGUUGGGUUAAGUCCCGCAACGAGCGCAACCCUUGUUCACUGUUGCCAGCACGUUAUGGUGGGGACUCAGUGGAGACCGCCGGGGUCAACUCGGAGGAAGGUGGGGAUGACGUCAAGUCAUCAUGCCCCUUAUGUCCAGGGCUUCACGCAUGCUACAAUGGCUGGUACAGAGAGUGGCGAGCCUGUGAGGGUGAGCGAAUCUCGGAAAGCCGGUCUCAGUUCGGAUUGGGGUCUGCAACUCGACCUCAUGAAGUCGGAGUCGCUAGUAAUCGCAGAUCAGCAACGCUGCGGUGAAUACGUUCCCGGG
rnacentral:rRNA from 1 species